rnacentral:rRNA from 1 species
AACGAACGCUGGCGGCAUGCCUAACACAUGCAAGUCGAACGAGACCUUCGGGUCUAAUGGCGCACGGGUGCGUAACGCGUGGGAACCUGCCCUUAGGUUCGGAAUAACUCCCCGAAAGGGGUGCUAAUACCGGAUAAUUUCUUCGGACCAAAGAUUUAUCGCCCUUGGAUGGGCCCGCGUUGGAUUAGCUAGUUGGUAGGGUAAAAGCCUACCAAGGCGACGAUCCAUAGCUGGUCUGAGAGGAUGAUCAGCCACACUGGGACUGAGACACGGCCCAGAAUCCUACGGGAGGCAGCAGUGGGGAAUAUUGGACAAUGGGCGAAAGCCUGAUCCAGCAAUGCCGCGUGAGUGAUGAAGGCCUUAGGGUUGUAAAGCUCUUUUACCCGGGAUGAUAAUGACAGUACCGGGAGAAUAAGCUCCGGCUAACUCCGUG